GAUGAACGCUGGCGGCGUGCCUAAUACAUGCAAGUCGAGCGAACAGACGAGGAGCUUGCUCCUCUGACGUUAGCGGCGGACGGGUGAGUAACACGUGGAUAACCUACCUAUAAGACUGGGAUAACUUCGGGAAACCGGAGCUAAUACCGGAUAAUAUAUUGAACCGCAUGGUUCAAUAGUGAAAGACGGUUUUGCUGUCACUUAUAGAUGGAUCCGCGCCGCAUUAGCUAGUUGGUAAGGUAACGGCUUACCAAGGCAACGAUGCGUAGCCGACCUGAGAGGGGGAUCGGCCACACUGGAACUGAGACACGGUCCAGACUCCUACGGAAGGCAGCAGUAGGGAAUCUUCCGCAAUGGGCGAAAGCCUGACGGAGCAACGCCGCGUGAGUGAUGAAGGUCUUCGGAUCGUAAAACUCUGUUACUAGGGAAGAACAAAUGUGUAAGUAACUAUGCACGUCUUGACGGUACCUAAUCAGAAAGCCACGGCUAACUACGUG
rnacentral:rRNA from 1 species